rnacentral:tRNA from 2 species
AGAGGAGUGGUAGAGCGGUUUAAUACACCGGUCUUGAAAACCGGAGACCUUCACGGGUCCGGGGGUUCGAAUCCCUCCUCCUCUG